CUACAGUCAAGGUUAUUACCCCUUCCACUGGCACUGCAUCACCAGUAAACCCUACCAACGGGGAGCUAACUGGCCCUAACCGACCAUCAGGGAUGGAUAUUUUUGAAAAUACAUCGUAAAACAAAAUAUCGGUUGAGCUUCCACUAUCAACAAGAAUGCGGCGUACAUCAUAAUUAGUAAUAUUUAAAGAAACUACAACUGCAUCAUUAUGGGGGAAUUGGAUCUCUCAGACAUCUUUUUCAGUAAAGGUGAUAGGUCC
rnacentral:lncRNA from 1 species